rnacentral:misc_RNA from 1 species
UUAAAUCUCUCACCCCCAAUUGGGGAUGAGGAAUUGAGCAAUCCGCUGGCGCUGAAUUGUUUACGCGGUUUAGUGAUUGAUGCGGUUGCUUGAAAUGUAUAGCUUAGCGGUAUUGACCACUGCUUAAGAUGACUAGGCGUAUUAGUUUCCCAUCUGGGAAUCCACUCGUGCGCCGGUGUAUGGUCUCUAAAGCCUUUGUGCUGGUUGAUCGCUUUGCUUACUUAAACGCUCUUUGAGUGUUUACUUAGUUUGGCAUGCAGUUUGCAUAUCGAACUUGA